GACGGAACUUCGCUCCGCGCGGACUUCCAGCUGCCGCCGCCGCUGCCCCGCCUCCCCCCCCGGCUCAUCCCAUCGCCGCCUCCGCGCCUCGCCACUCAUGCAGUCAUGGACACUGAGACCCCAUGGACACUACCACAAACCAUGGAGGAACCCAGCCUGUCUGCCACCAUCAGCCAGGCUGAAGACAAAAGUGGCAGUUUGGGGAAAUAAAGGAUCUCAUCACCUGGAUUGAGGAGGACAUCUAGUGCCAGCUCCAGGAUCAUGCUGUGCUUCGUGGGAAACUGGAGCCUAAAGACAGAUACCUCAAGAACUAGGAUGUAAACAGCUCCCCUUCCCCUGAAAGUACUCAAGGAAAUGCAUCAAUAUUGAGCUCAUCAGGCAAAAAGACUCAACAUCUAUGCACAGAAGAACAGCUCAUGGCAGCUGGCAUGGUGGGUCAAAGAUAGGCAACCAAAUACCUGCUAAGUGAAUGAAAGAUUUGCGUAUAAGGUGCCAGAACAAUAAAGAAGAGAUGUUACAGGCUGUGGUAGCAUCCUCUAAGCUCAGUGCCUGCUGUUAGGGGAUGCAAAACCAGCACAAGGAAUGAAUCGGGAUGUAUAUGCUUCCACCUGGGCUGCUGUGUUUCAUGACUUGGGACUCCAGAUUUCCAUCCACUGUUUGGAGGAGACACCCCACAGCACAGUGGAGUGGAGAGAGUGUGAAUGUAAGAAGUUAAUGAACACAGUCCUGGACCACUGGGAGUAUGUCCUGGCUCCCAAGUAAUUCUAGCCCAGUCCUCCAGGGGCAGAGGAGCACUAGGAACAGGUAGGAAAGCAUGUCUCACCAGCCUGCCAGACCAGUUUCUGACACCAGUGCCCAUUGGCCCCAGCUCAUCCAUCCCCUCCUAGGAGGCCCAAAGGGGGCCCCCUUCCAGGAGGCCCAUGACCACUCUCCAUGGCCUCACUCCUGGCCUGAGUCCUUCUAUGGGAAGUGGCACAGCCUUGGAAGAGACGGGCAGCUCCCAGCUUGGUCUGGCUGCCUGAUACGAGCCCCAGGCAUUGGUGUGGGUCCCAGGUCUGUGGUUACCAAGGGUCCAGGAGAUCCCUUUGGGAGGGCCACCAGAUUGAUAGCACCUUCUGUGGUGAUGCCACCCAACCCACAGCCUUGCCCCCACCUCCCACCUAGCAGCUGCCCCCCAGCCUGCAGCUCUCUCAAACAGCCAUUGGGUCUGGGAUCAUGCAGCUGUCCAGCUCCUACAUGGAGAAGUCCCUGGUCUUGACUCCAGACCCCUGAAAGUAGCAUGCCAAGUCAAAAGCACCUACCCUGUACCUCCCUUCCAAAGUAUCAUGUUUGUUGAGUUCAGGCCCUGUAGUGUUCCCUCUGACCAUAAACACUCUUUCAGGUUCUGUCAUCCCAUUCUCAACCCCACCUCCCCGCUCAACCUCUGUCAAAGUUUUGCUGUUUUGUGUCAGUUGGUCAGAGGGACCAAGCUAGGACAUGGUCAAUGUUCAACAGGUUUGCUGUACUGAACACAGUUAAAGUUUGGCAACUGCAACAUUGUGAACAGAGGCAUAUCUCUUCCUCACUGCAUUCCCCUGCACCCUAGUGUGUGCCUCUGAGGGGUGAAGAGGGAGAGGGAAAGGGGAAGGAUGCCCAUGCAGUCUGGGCUGUGGGCAGUGGUUCCCAUGAUCAGGGCCAGAUGAGCCUGGAGCUGGAGACCCAUGAUCUGGUGACAGGGCAUGGGCAUCGAAAGUUCUCCAUCUCUACUCAUCUGGGGAGGAUUCUUGGUCCACACAGGUGAAGAGCUAUUUGGACAGGGUUUCAUUGAUCUGAACAAUCUGGGGCCACACAGAUUAGUGGAGGCCUUGCCCUCUCCCCCAUCUCCACACUGCAUGUGUUCACAGUGAUAAGCCUAAUCCAUAAUUGAAGUGCAUCAUCUGGUGGUCUAGCUGCCCCUGAUAGGGCUUCAUGAACCAGGGCAGGAGGGGAUAGACUGGGCCUCUGAUAAGGGUUGGGAGGGGGAAUGCUGAUAUUGCUAAUGAUGAAAUCGGGGACCCCGAGAGUGUAGCACCCACUCUCCAUCACCCCAGGGAAGAGGGAGGUGUGCAAGAUGCAGGCAUUGUCCUCAUUGACCGCAUGAAAGUUGGUAGCCCAGUAAUGAGCUGGAUGCCUGCAUGGUGUGUGUGUAGGUGAACACCUCACAUAUACAAACACACACAGAACCCAGGCAUCUGAGACAAGUGACCCAGGUCACCUGCCAUGUCUAAGAUAGUGCAGCUAUACAAGACACUUUGUAGUGCAUUAGACUAAUCUACAUUCUUGAUUUGAAAAAUUAAUUUCUAUCUUGCCUAAAGGAGCACCAAUAAUUCCUGUGUUUGACAUGGUUUAAUUAAUUAUGUUACAGAAUACAUUUCAUCAACCAUUUUAUACCAAAUUGUUCAGUAUAUUCCAUUGUUAUUCAGAGAAUAAUUAUUAGAUUAGAACUAACUGCCUUUUAGAAGUGCUCUUAAUAGUUUCAAUUUCCCUGUUUCCCAGCAACAAUUUGUUUUCUCAUUACACUUCUUUCAGUCAAGGAUUUUGGGGAAAGAAAAUGAUGGGCAUCUGUUGUGUUCUAACCAAUUUAAUCAUAUUAUGAAGUUUGAUCAUUAGGCACAUUUUUUUUGUAAUUAAUUUGUGGUCUCUUUCUAACCAAAUAUGAUUUUCUUAUUAUUCAAGAAGGUAUAAAUAUUAUUUUGCAUGUGCACAGUAAAGCAUUGCUGUCUACAUGUAUGCAACAAUUGUCAUACCAUAUAUUACUGUAAUGUGCCAUUUUUAGUACUUGUAACUAAUUAUGCAUGAGAUAAUUAAUUAAUGUACCAUACCACAUGUGCAGAUGCUGACCAGGAGCAAACUGCUUCCAGUCUCAACAGGGCACCACAGAGGGUGGGAGAGGUGUCCUGGCUCGGUGGGACACUGCCUGCCAGCCACAUGGAGAUUGGGAUCCAUUUCAAUCUCCAUGUGGCUGGGAGGGCUGCCCCAACUGCCAGGAAGCUACCCACCCUGCUGGGACAGCUUCUGCCAUCCUUUUGGGGACAGCCCAGUCUUCUUCCAGCCAGGUCAGAACUGCCCUUCAAGCAGGAGCUCCUCCUUGUAAAUUUUUUAUACUUGUAUUUUUCAAAAUGUUUUAACUUUUUUUUAUUGUAGUCUAUCAGAAGUCUCAAGCAGACUGGUUUUCCAAGCAUCUCAUUAGUUGUUGGUUUUUCUGACAAGGGAUGUCAGUAUGUAUUUUUGUUGCUGUUUUAGUUUGUUUUCAUUGUGACCAUUUUGCUUGUUUUUAAAAUAUUAGAAGCUCCAGCCCUGACAACUGUACAUUAGGUCAGAAAUAGCCUGAAGAGGUUUGACUUUUCAAUAUAUAGUACUUCCUUAAUCUUUCCUGGCCCAAGCCAGCCUCCCACAGAACUGUUAUCACAUGCAUACCAGCCAAAAUUAUUAAAGUUUAAAUAUAUAUUUUAUUUACAUGCUAUUGACUGCAGACUGUUAUGAAUGAGAAGUGAGAGUUGAGAAACAUGUGAAAUAUGUGUAUGAACACUUUCCAUCUCCAUUUUCUUUUAUUUUUUUUCUGAUUUCUGACCUCACAAAAGACAGCCUACCUAUCUGCAAUCAGCACUGAGCAAGGAGGAAAAAUAGCAAGAGAAAGCCAAAGCUGAAGUCCUUCAGGUUGCCUUCAGUGCAUGGAGCCCAAGGGAAAAUAGGAGACAAGAUGGGACCCUAGUGCUGGCACAAGGACUGUGCACUUCUUCAAGCAUGACUCUAUACCAAAGGAGAUUUCCUGAAAUUACUGAAUAAGUUGUUCUGUACUUGAUUCAAACCAUGGACUUGAUUCUGGAUCUUCCAGGUCAUUUUGGAAUAGGGAGCACAUGUGCUUGCUCGCUCUCGUUCUCUCAUUUUUCAGUAAAUAAAAUAAAAUACA